AUCUACAGCCAUACCAUAUGCACACCUGAUCUCAUGUGAUCUCAGAUGAGAUGUCUGUAUGUAACACAGUAUGAUUUACAAUGGACAUAUACAGUGCUAGGCAGGAGAGAGGUUAAAGUAGGAUGUAGCCUGCAGGUG
rnacentral:rRNA from 1 species